rnacentral:rRNA from 1 species
UAGCUAGUUGGUGAGGUAAAGGCUUACCAAGGCGACGAUCUGUAGCGGGUCUGAGAGGAUGAUCCGCCACACUGGAACUGAGACACGGUCCAGACUCCUACGGGAGGCAGCAGUGGGGAAUUUUGGACAAUGGGGGCAACCCUGAUCCAGCCAUGCCGCGUGAGUGAAGAAGGCCUUCGGGUUGUAAAGCUCUUUCGGCCGGGAAGAAAUCGCAUGGGCCAAUACCCUGUGUGGAUGACGGUACCGGAAUAAGAAGCACCGGCUAACUACGUGCCAGCAGCCGCGGUAAUACGUAGGGUGCGAGCGUUAAUCGGAAUUACUGGGCGUAAAGCGUGCGCAGGCGGUUUUGUAAGACAGGCGUGAAAUCCCCGGGCUUAACCUGGGAACUGCGUUUGUGACUGCAAGGCUAGAGUACGGCAGAGGGGGGUGGAAUUCCACGUGUAGCAGUGAAAUGCGUAGAGAUGUGGAGGAACACCAAUGGCGAAGGCAGCCCCCUGGGUCGAUACUGACGCUCAUGCACGAAAGCGUGGGUAGCAAACAGGAUUAGAUACCCUGGUAGUCCACGCCCUAAACUAUGUCAACUAGGUGUUGGGUGGGUAAAACCAUUUAGUACCGUAGCUAACGCGUGAAGUUGACCGCCUGGGGAGUACGGCCGCAAGGUUAAAACUCAAAGGAAUUGACGGGGACCCGCACAAGCGGUGGAUGAUGUGGAUUAAUUCGAUGCAACGCGAAAAACCUUACCUACCCUUGACAUGCCAGGAACUUGCCAGAGAUGGCUUGGUGCCCGGAAGGGAGCCUGGACACAGGUGCUGCAUGGCUGUCGUCAGCUCGUGUCGUGAGGUGUUGGGUUAAGUCCCGCAACGAGCGCAACCCUUGUCGUUAAUUGCCAUCAUUUAGUUGGGCACUUUAACGAGACUGCCGGUGACAAACCGGAGGAAGGUGGGGAUGACGUCAAGUCCUCAUGGCCCUUAUGGGUAGGGCUUCACACGUCAUACAAUGGUCGGUACAAAGGGUUGCCAAGCCGCGAGGCGGAGCCAAUCCCAGAAAGCCGAUCGUAGUCCGGAUUGCAGGCUGCAACUCGCCUGCAUGAAGUCGGAAUCGCUAGUAAUCGUGGAUCAGCAUGUCACGGUGAAUACGUUCCCGGGUCUUGUACACACCGCCCGUCACACCAUGGGAGCGGGUUCCGCCAGAAGUAGGUAGCCUAACCGCAAGGGGGGCGCUUACCACGGCGGGGUUCGUGACUGGGGUGAAGUAGUAACAAGGUAGCCGUAGGGGAACCUGCGGCUG